GAUGAACGCUAGCGACAGGCUUAACACAUGCAAGUCGAGGGGCAGCAUGAUUUGUAGCAAUACAGAUUGAUGGCGACCGGCGCACGGGUGAGUAACGCGUAUGCAACUUACCUAUCAGAGGGGGAUAGCCCGGCGAAAGUCGGAUUAAUACCCCAUAAAACAGGGGUCCCGCAUGGGAAUAUUUGUUAAAGAUUCAUCGCUGAUAGAUAGGCAUGCGUUCCAUUAGGCAGUUGGCGGGGUAACGGCCCACCAGGGCGAUUAUGGGUAGCCGGGUUGAGAGACCGACCGGCCAGAUUGGGACUGAGACACGGCCCAG
rnacentral:rRNA from 1 species